rnacentral:rRNA from 1 species
UACGUAGGGUGCAAGCGUUAUUCGGAAUUACUGGGCGUAAAGCGUGCGCAGGCGGUGAUGUAAGACAGGUGUGAAAUCCCCGGGCUUAACCUGGGAACUGCAUUUGUGACUGCAUCGCUGGAGUGCGGCAGAGGGGGAUGGAAUUCCGCGUGUAGCAGUGAAAUGCGUAGAUAUGCGGAGGAACACCGAUGGCGAAGGCAAUCCCCUGGGCCUGCACUGACGCUCAUGCACGAAAGCGUGGGAAGCAAACAGG